GGCGAUGUUGCAAAACCACUAGGGUCCUGGGAGUGCGGUCCUAAGAGUGAGGUCCUGAGAGUGCAGCCUCCGACGCUGCAGCUUCAUACUAUUGUCGGAGACAUGAAUAUGAACGACAACGCAGAGAGUAUGCAUAUUUCAAUCCAAGAGGGGAGAUCCUUGCCCGACCCAGCCAAACUGAGCAAGGUCCAAACCCAUUUAGAGAGCCACUUCAACCGUGCAGUUCUCCAUGAAGGUAAAGUUUGCAAACAUUCUCUUGUGAAAUGCAAAUGGAGUUGCAAUGUGUCUGCAUUAAAAGCAGCCUGAAUGUUAUGAUCAGUUCCAUUUGAGCAAUAAAUCAAAACAAGUCCUUCUAUGAUUUGUUUGUGGUGACCAGUGGCGUUUUUAUAUGUACAAAAGUGGUGGGGCACAAAAAACUUAGAUGUCUAUAUAUAAGCUUCUGCAGUGACGUGCAGUGAGGUUCAUGGCUGGUGAGGCACGGUUUGAAUUCCAGGAGGUUAGUUUAUGAUUUUUUUUUACCAAAGAAGUAAAUGCCUAAUUAAAGUGUUGCUUAUGUUUCAUCAUACUGUUCAUCUUGAAGAAAAAUGAUUUAUUAUGGACAUUGUGAAUCAAAAAUUGUCUUUGUCACUUUCACAUUUCAUUCAGAUGGACAUGCCUUUGAUUCGGAAGUGGUGGUGUCUUCUUCUCAUGGAGCGUUUUGAAACACAAGGGUAUGAAAGCCCUUAACAAUAUGUGUGUUUUAAUUUCAGUAACACUUAAUUUUGAGGGUCACUUGUAGAUUAUCUACAAUCUCUCAACAAACUCAGGAGCAUGUCAAUAGAACAUCUGUUAGUUAUAUUAGGUUAACCAUCUACAGAUCAGUUGACCAUCAGUAACAAGAGCUGUAAGACUCUGGAUGGCAAUAUCUGUUGAGAUUAUUAAUGCAUAUCAAUUGUGCACCAAUGCCUUAGCCUUUCCCUAUGCAAUACUUUAGAUUACAUCUUGUUCUUAUUGUUUCAAAGGCAUGGCCAAAGGUUUGCCUUCUGGACUCUGGAGGCCAGAAACUUGCUCGAGGGAACCCUUCAGCCAGUGUUCAGAGUGCCACGACAGAGUGCCAGAAUGGAUAUCUCCCAGGAGAAGGUGGCCAUUGGCAUAUUGCAGGCAUGUAUUUACAAUUACUUUAGUUUUGACAGUAGAGACAAUAACAAUAGAGACCUACAAUAAAAUGUAGCUUGAAAGGAUUUCGUAUUAAAUCGUGUUUUAUAUCUACAGCUGCCUGAAGGCAUAAUCCGCAGGGUCCUUACGUUUGUCGUUCUUGAGGAUUUGGUGAUCCUGCAAUCUGCACGCUAGCCCUUACCGGCGAGAGCUUUAAAUACAUCGUGAGCCAGGGGUCAUUCCAAAAGGAAGCCCACUUCAACUGGCUUGACAGUGUCGUCAACUGGAAUAUCUUCACAGAGGGACACAAACAGGAAUUUAGGAAGGCCUACCAAAUUUCCAGGUGCUUUCAGUGUGACAACCUGUAUAAGGACGUUGGCACAGGCUACCGGGGAAGUGGACGGCGAGGAAUAUUACAGGGUUUUUACUCAGAAGAGGGCUUCCCGGGGUACUGCAGCUGGAGCUGUUUUCUGGUGGUUGAGGGAACAGCAGACCCCGCCUCACCCC